rnacentral:rRNA from 1 species
GAUGAACGCUAGCGGCAGGCCUAACACAUGCAAGUCGAGGGAGAGGUUAUCUUCGGGUAACCAAAACCGGCGCACGGGUGCGUAACGCGUAUACAAUCUGCCUUUCACAUAGGGAUAGCCCGAAGAAAUUUGGAUUAAUACCUAAUGGUAUAUAAGAGCGGCAUCGUUUUUAUAUUAAAGCUACGGUGGUGAAAGAUGAGUAUGCGUUCUAUUAGCUAGUUGGAGAGGUAACGGCUCCCCAAGGCGACGAUAGAUAGGGGUUCUGAGAGGGAUGUCCCCCACACUGGUACUGAGAUACGGACCAGACUCCUACGGGAGGCAGCAGUGAGGAAUAUUGGACAAUGGUCGGAAGACUGAUCCAGCCAUGCCGCGUGCAGGAUGAAGGUCCUAUGGAUUGUAAACUGCUUUUGUAAGGGAAGAAUAAGGAGUACGUGUACUUUGAUGACGGUACCUUACGAAUAAGCAUCGGCUAACUCCGUGCCAGCAGCCGCGGUAAUACGGAGGAUGCGAGCGUUAUCCGGAAUCAUUGGGUUUAAAGGGUCCGUAGGCGGGCUGAUAAGUCAGAGGUGAAAGCGCUUAGCUCAACUAAGCAACUGCCUUUGAAACUGUCAGUCUUGAAUGAUUGUGAAGUAGUUGGAAUGUGUAGUGUAGCGGUGAAAUGCUUAGAUAUUACACAGAACACCGAUAGCGAAGGCAUAUUACUAACAAUUUAUUGACGCUGAUGGACGAAAGCGUGGGGAGCGAACAGG